rnacentral:rRNA from 1 species
CCUACGGGAGGCUGCAGUGAGGAAUAUUGGUCAAUGGUCGGGAGACUGAACCAGCCAAGCCGCGUGAGGGAUGAAGGUACAGAGUAUCGUAAACCUCUUUUGUCAGGGAACAAAGGCGGGGACGUGUCCCCGGAUGAGUUUACCUGAAGAAAAAGCAUCGGCUAACUCCGGGCCAGCAGCCGCGGUAAUACGGAGGAUGCGAGCUUUAUCCGGAUUUAUUGGGUUUAAAGGGUGCGCAGGCGGUCUGUUAAGUCAGCGGUAAAAGCCCGGGGCUCAACCCCGGCCCGCCGUUGAAACUGGCAGUCUCGAGUUGGAGAGAAGUAUGCGGAAUGCGCGGUGUAGCGGUGAAAUGCAUAGAUAUCGCGCAGAACUCCGAUUGCGAAGGCAGCAUGCCGGCUCCACACUGACGCUGAGGCACGAAAGCGUGGGUAUCGAACAGGAUUAGAUACCCUUGUAGUC